UACGUAGGGUGCAAGCGUUGUCCGGAAUUAUUGGGCGUAAAGAGCUCGUAGGCGGUCUGUCGCGUCGGCUGUGAAAACCCGGGGCUCAACCCCGGGCCUGCAGUCGAUACGGGCAGACUAGAGUGCGGUAGGGGAGACUGGAAUUCCUGGUGUAGCGGUGAAAUGCGCAGAUAUCAGGAGGAACACCGGUGGCGAAGACGGGUCUCUGGGCCGUAACUGACGCUGAGGAGCGAAAGCGUGGGGAGCGAACAGG
rnacentral:rRNA from 1 species